rnacentral:ncRNA from 1 species
GAUAAAUGUGGUGGUGACCAGACAUUCACAGAAAGGUUGCUUUUUGAUUCUUCGAUGUCAUCUCUUCCUAUCAUUAUGAAGGAGAAUUAAACCAGCAGAUUAUUCACUCAAUAAUAGGCAACAUGUGCUGGGAUUAGACCAUCAUGAGACAGCUU